rnacentral:rRNA from 1 species
GACGAACGCUGGCGGCGUGCUUAACACAUGCAAGUCGAACGGAAAGGCCCUGCUUUUGUGGGGUGCUCGAGUGGCGAACGGGUGAGUAACACGAGAGUAACCUGCCCUUGACUUUGGGAUAACUUCAGGAAACUGGGGCUAAUACCGGAUAGGAGCUCCUGCUGCAUGGUGGGGGUUGGAAAGUUUCGGCGGUUGGGGAUGGACUCGCGGCUUAUCAGCUUGUUGGUGGGGUAGUGGCUUACCAAGGCUUUGACGGGUAGCCGGCCUGAGAGGGUGACCGGCCACAUUGGGACUGAGAUACGGCCCAGACUCCUACGGGAGGCAGCAGUGGGGAAUAUUGCGCAAUGGGCGGAAGCCUGAUGCAGCAACGCCGCGUGCGGGAUGACGGCCUUCGGGUUGUAAACCGCUUUCGCCUGUGACGAAGCGUGAGUGACGGUAAUGGGUAAAGAAGCACCGGCUAACUACGUG